AAACAACUGUUGAAUCUCACGAUGAAACACUGCUCUAGAGAGUGGUAGGUUAUAAAACAACUGUUGAAUCUCACGAUGAAACACUGCUCUAGAGAGUGGUAGGUUAUAAAACAACUGUUGAAUCUCACGAUGAAACACUGCUCUAGAGAGUGGUAGGUUAUAAAUCAACUGUUGAAUCUCACGAUGAAACACUGCUCUAGAGAGUGGUAGGUUAUAAAACAACUGUUGAAUCUCACGAUGAAACACUGCUCUAGAGAGUGGUAGGUUAUAAAACAACUGUUGAAUCUCACGAUGAAACACUGCUCUAGAGAGUGGUAGGUUAUAAAACAACUGUUGAAUCUCACGAUGAAACACUGCUCUAGAGAGUGGUAGGUUAUAAAUCAACUGUUGAAUCUCACGAUGAAACACUGCUCUAGAGAGUGGUAGGUUAUAAAACAACUGUUGAAUCUCACGAUGAAACACUGCUCUAGAGAGUGGUAGGUUAUAAAACAACUGUUGAAUCUCACGAUGAAACACUGCUCUAGAGAGUGGUAGGUUAUAAAACAACUGUUGAAUCUCACGAUGAAACACUGCUCUAGAGAGUGGUAGGUUAUAAAUCAACUGUUGAAUCUCACGAUGAAACACUGCUCUAGAGAGUGGUAGGUUAUAAAUCAACUGUUGAAUCUCACGAUGAAACACUGCUCUAGAGAGUGGUAGGUUAUAAAACAACUGUUGAAUCUCACGAUGAAACACUGCUCUAGAGAGUGGUAGGUUAUAAAUCAACUGUUGAAUCUCACGAUGAAACACUGCUCUAGAGAGUGGUAGGUUAUAAAACAACUGUUGAAUCUCACGAUGAAACACUGCUCUAGAGAGUGGUAGGUUAUAAAACAACUGUUGAAUCUCACGAUGAAACACUGCUCUAGAGAGUGGUAGGUUAUAAAUCAACUGUUGAAUCUCACGAUGAAACACUGCUCUAGAGAGUGGUAGGUUAUAAAUCAACUGUUGAAUCUCACGAUGAAACACUGCUCUAGAGAGUGGUAGGUUAUAAAACAACUGUUGAAUCUCACGAUGAAACACUGCUCUAGAGAGUGGUAGGUUAUAAAUCAACUGUUGAAUCUCACGAUGAAACACUGCUCUAGAGAGUGGUAGGUUAUAAAUCAACUGUUGAAUCUCACAAUGAAAUAUAUUCCACCUCAAU